AUUGAACGCUGGCGGCAUGCCUUACACAUGCAAGUCGAACGGCAGCACGGGAGCUUGCUCCUGGUGGCGAGUGGCGAACGGGUGAGUAAUAUAUCGGAACGUACCCUAGAGUGGGGAUAACGCAGCGAAAGUUGCGCUAAUACCGCAUACGAUCUACGGAUGAAAGUGGGGGAUCGCAAGACCUCAUGCUCAUGGAGCGGCCGAUAUCUGAUUAGCUAGUUGGUGGGGUAAAGGCCUACCAAGGCAUCGAUCAGUAGCUGGUCUGAGAGGACGACCAGCCACACUGGAACUGAGACACGGUCCAGACUCCUACGGGAGGCAGCAGUGGGGAAUUUUUGGACAAUGGGGGCAACCCUGAUCCAGCAAUGCCGCGUGAGUGAAGAAGGCC
rnacentral:rRNA from 1 species